ACACAAUUCGGCCUUUUGGCUAAGAUCAAGUGUAGUAUCUGUUCUAGUAGUAUCAGUUUAAUAUCUGAUACGUCCUCUACCCGAGGACCAUAUAUUAACCUUAUUUUUGGAACAGGGAGAAGGAAGAGGGGCUUGCUCUGUCCGCUCCACACAUUGACCCGAUAUUGCAAUGACUCCAGGAACAGUGCAUAUCCG